rnacentral:rRNA from 1 species
GCCGACUUCCAUGGCCACCGUCCUGCUGUCUUUAGUUACUAACGCCUUUUGUGGGGUCCGAUAUGCGUUGAUUUUGGCACUAUAACUUUACGACCGGUUCAUCCCGCAUCGCCAGUUCUGCUUACCAAAAAUGGCCCACUAAAGGCCUUUACUAUCUAUCCAUUUGCUACGUAGCACGCUAGCUAAUGGAAAACACACACAUUAACAGUUUGAGAAUAGGUUGAGAACGUUUCGAACCCAACGACUCUAAUCAUUCGCUUUACCGCAUGUGACUAUCAUCUCUACUAGACCUCAGCUAUCCUUAGGGAAACUUCGAAAGGAACCAGCUACUAGAUGAUUUGAUUGGUCUUUCGCCCCUAUACAUAAUUCUGAUGAUCGAUUUGCACGUCAGAACCAUUGCGGACCUCCACCAGAGUUUCCCCUGGCUUCAUCCUUUUCAUGCAUAGUUCACCAUCUUUCGGGUUCCAGAGCACGAGCUACGAGUACGGCAGCGCGCACGCCCCAUUUGACUGGAACGCACGCACAUAAUUGCCAUCUCCGAUUUGCCUAGACGUCGUCGUCGUCGUCGUCGAUAUAAUAAAUUAUAUGCGAGCGCGCCGCGUCUCAUCAUACAAACUUGACUUGAGAGUUGCCGAAACAACACUCUCUCGUUCGUGUUAAUUGCUUUCGUUAAGUUUGACGGAUUCUAUUAGAUUGAACCUUUGCGUCACGCUCGUUCGCUGGACUCCUUGGUCC